rnacentral:lncRNA from 1 species
AGGUUGAAAUUUGAGGGCAGGCUGCAACUGAGGAAUAAUUUUUAAAUUCUUUUGGCUGUAUUUUCUUGUUUGGUUUUCGUCAACCAGAUGUUGCAAGUAGAAAUGAUAUUCCACACGCUUUAUUAAUUUGGUCUGCUUAAAUUGUGACCGCAAUUCAACUUUACAUUCCUUUCAACAUUUUUAGUUUAGUUACACAUUUGAUUUCUCCGCCUUUAAUUCUUCAAAUUUUAAUUGAGGGUUUGACAUAAUUGAAGGUUUAACAUCCGACUUAUUCAGAGUUUAGGAC